GAUAAUAAAUAAAUUCUGUUUAUUUUUUUCUCUAACAUAGUUCAAGAAAACCAGACAUUAGUGUAAGUUGGAGAACAUCUGAGUUUGGAAACAGGUCUUUGCCUUAAUGGAUUGUUGACUAGAAAAUCAGAGGCCGACAUUCAAAUAAUAUGUUUCGAAGUGUUGUUGUACGGUGUUAAUAGGUGUUUCAUAUAAAAGGGUAUCAUGGACUGGGUGCAGUGUGGCUCAUGCCUGUAAUCCCAGCACUUUGGGAGGCUGAGGCAGACAAAUCACUUGAGUUCAGGCAUUCUAAACCAGCCUGGGCAGCAUGGCAAAAUCCCAUCUCUACAAAAAAUUAGCCAGGCUUGGUGGCAUGCACCUGUAGUCCCAGCUACUCAGGAGGCUGAGGUGGGAAGAUCACUGAAGCCUGUCAGGCAGAGGUUGCAGUGAGCCAAGAUUGCAACACCACACUCCAACCUGGGCAACAGAACAAGACCCUGUCUCAAAAAAUAUUUUUUUAAUUAAAAAAAUUUAAAGGGUACCAUAAGGUACAAAAUAGUGUCAAAUGAAGGGUUUCCUGAACAUAUCUGACAAUGCCAUUCUACUCCACCCCACCUUCCUCAGAACCUCUCAUUUGAGCAAGGUUCUGCUGGGCGGGGCAGGGCGGGGAACAACACUUCAGCAGACCAAAUAUUUAAACUGCUUUAUACACAGAAGGCCUCUGAAUUUCCCACAACAUCCUACCAACAAUUACAAAUUCUUUUUUUUUUUUUUUUGAGGCAGGGUCUUGCCCUGUUGCCCAGUCUGGAGUGCAAUGGCGCAAUGAUAGCUCACUGCAGCAUCCAACUCCUGGGUUCAAGCAAUCCUCCCACAUCACCCUCCACAGUAGCUGGGACCACAGGUGUGCACCACCACAACUAGCUAGUUUUAACAUUUUUUUUAUAGAGACAGUGUCUGGCUCUAUUGCCCAGGCUGGUCCCGAAUUCUUGGGCCCAAGCAGUCCUCCCACUUCAGCCUCCCGAACUGCUGGGAUUACAGGCAUGAGCCGCUGCAUCCAGCCACAGAUUCAUUCAUUCAUUCGUUCUUUCUUUAUUUUAAGACUAGUCAAGUGCAGUAGUGAGAAGAGGGGAAGAGUAGAACAAGGAGCUUGAUCUGUAACUGACUGUGAACAAUCAAUUGAGCUAACUCACUACCUUCAGACCAGCCACAAAUUCAUUUCUUUAGAAAAAAGAUGAGAAUUAUUUUCUAAAAACUGAGCAAUGGAAAAGGAACCCCUUCAAUGGGUAAAGGGAGCUAAAGUUAACUGAAUGGCCUUAUUCAUAUACAUUCAAGUUUUAUCGCAGUUGUAAGGUCUGGUAAAUUUUUGAGUAGUGCUUCUCAAGCAAGGGGAGCAGGGAGAGGUACAUCCCAUUAGGAAUGUGCUACCCUCCCCACCACAGUCUUUUUUGAGACAAUGCCAUGGUGAGCAAUUGUUACCAAUGGGAAUGUGUCACGUCUUUUUAAAAAUUGAGACCCACUCCAGUGAGGUCUUCAGCUGACCCCCUGCCAACCUUUUAGACUUUCUGAGAUGGCUUGGAUGAAAUUAUACUCACAUUAGACAUCUAAUGCCUAUUAUUUAAUACUUAAUGAUAAUUAAUAUAUUUGAACCCUUUCUCAUUUUGCACAGGAAGCUUUCAAAUCAGUGUGCUGCAAACUGUCGUAAAAUUCUGAUUUAUAACACUGUCCCCAAAAGUAUAUAAUGGGACUAAAGUUUACCAAACUUAUAAAAAUGUUAUGAAACACUGAAUCUUAUUUUGUUGAUUUAACAUUUCAUUUUCAUCAUUAGGCAUGUGAAAAAGCAACAUAAGCAAAGAUUAAAUAAUCUAAAAAUCCUUCAAAUUGAUCAUUCAUUAUUUCAGUACUUACUGAGCUAAACAUUAUUUUGUUAUCUGUAAAGGAGAGAAUGUAAAACACUGUAUGUCUUUGGCAUUACUAGAAAGGGGUAUUUAAACUUUGUACCUUUUUUUGCCAUAAAAUUGAAGUUAUGGUAAGAUGAAAUGGAAGCCCACAGGUCCUGUUGGUGUGGAAUUCCACUAAUAAUGUCAGAUUGUUGCCAAAAAAACAAAUUUUGUCAUACAGCUUGCAAUUAACAUACCAAAAAUUUACCAGCCCGUAUAAUUUUAUCAGUCUGCCUUCCCCAGAGGAAGUAAACAGAUAAUAAAACUAAUGAAAUCAUAUUUCUUGACCACUCUCAUCCAAUAUAAAUUGUUACUUGUCCUUAGAGGAUUAGACAGUGAGCUGUUUACAAGGCCAUUCAAAUGUCUGGGCUAGUUAAUGUUAGAGGCAGUAGUCUAAAAUAUGGAGUAUUCCUGAGUCAGCAAAGAGGAUCCUGCAUUGUGAGGAAGCCCCCCUAAGUCAUUACCAAGUGCAGAUCAGGGUUUGAUGGGCCUCUGUCAAAAGUUGUUUUGCAUCCGCAUUUCUGUGUUCCCUGAAAACACCAUGAAAUACUGAACUUUAAUCAGUAAUGCAACAAAUGAGAAAAUGCUCAGUGUUUUAGAACUAUUCAGAGUAGAAAACUCUGGAACAUAAAAUGGGGGUUAUGCCUUACUUGGUGAGUUGCUAAAACUUGAGAUCAGGCGAAACAAAGCUGAUAGGUCCAAUGCCUUUUGGAACGUGUAACACCAGCAGUUCUUCAAGUUUGGCCUCUGGCCCUCCUGUAUUAGAAUCAUCUGGGAGACUUGCUCCAGUGCAGAUCUCCUCUACAAAACCUACAUUUAACCUAGUGAAGCAGAACCCCCUGGUUUUCCCCAGGAGUCUGCAUUUGUCACAAGCUUACUAGAUGUUUCUGAUUCACAGUAAAGCUUGAGAACACUAUAUGUGACCACCCCGCUGGCAAUGUAAUUAACAACUUCUUACACAUAUGGAUACUAAAUUUUGCAACAUAUUUGAAAUGCUGAAGCAAUAUCAAAUGUAUGGCAUCCCCAAAUACAGCAAUUUCCAUUGGUUUAAAAAGUGGCAUAUGAGCACAACCAACUGGGAUUAACUCAGUCAACUCUUAUGGUUUAACACAUUUUACCUGCACCGAAAAAUACUUUGCAGAUCAAACUGGCAACCAGAAAACAGAACAUAACAGAACACACGACACCCCGCUGUGGACUUUUAAGAAAAAAACUGACAAACUCCAAAUCCAUAAUGACAUGAGAACUUGUACUUUGAAGGCAGAAUGGACUUGUGGGAAGAGAGGACUCCCCUUCUGUUCUCCCUUCACUAGGCGGAGAAGGGAAGAAGGUCUCUCCCCAAACAGCUCUCUUCAUUCUGGAAUGUUUUGCCAGUCCCCAAGGCGCUCAGUGACCAACUUUCUUUCACAGGUCCUCCCAGUGACUGACAUGGCUCAUUCUCCCAAAGUAGUUGAGAGGCCACUACGAGAGCUCUUGAGAGAAGCUUUGUGACAUCAAAUUCAUCAAAUGAAGCAAGAUUCAUUUUUAAAGAAUAAUACAAAGCUCCAGGAUGAGGAGAGUGGGCCAGAGAGUGACUUGCACAUCACUUGGUAAGAAGUGAAGUCAGGAUCUGAAUCCAGGCAGGCUGAUUCCAGCAUCAACAUCACCACUUAAAACUGGACCUCCCCUUCCCUCCGCCCUCCUCUGACUCAGCCACAUGCCAGAGGCACAGGACGCUUGUCACAACACAGGACUUGCACUGCCUGAUUUGGAGUCUCUCGUCCCACCUGAUGAGAAAUACCCACAGGUGUGGAGGGGCUGGCCCCCUUCACCUGGAUCUCGACUCCUGUUUUGUUCUACGGUUCGUGUUGCAGUGCUGUGACCCCCAGAAGCUCAGGAAAACAACUGACUUCCUGGUGUUGCUAACAGGCAGAGAGGAGAUGCAGCCGGUCCUUACCCUGUAGAAGAUGGGGAGGGAGUCCCACGUGUACGGAUAAGCAAAGGCGAGGACACGAAUCACCUUACAGAGUCUGGGCUUCUGGAUUUCAAGAAACCUAAAUCAGGGAAGGAAAAUGGGGAGGAAAUGGAAUGAAAAGAGUCUCAGCAAAUUGCACACGCACAUGCGUGCACACCAAGGACCUGGUCAUCAACAGAAGACAAACAUUUUUGUACAAGCUCCUGUGGCCAGCAGCUUCUCCACCAGCCUCGUUCAUUCCUCCCACCCCAAUGGAAGUGACAAAACUUCAGAUGCAAAAAGAUCUCCAGAGACACCAUCUCCUGACCAUGGGAAGCAGUGGUGUCCAGACUAAGCCAGAAAGGAGGCGCUGGGCAGAAACCCUUCGAGGGCCAAGUUAUGUAACUGCCAAAGAGCCUUUUAAAACUCUAGUUGCUACAGGGACAGGGAACGGGUAGGGGGAAUCAGGGGAUCCACUGCCACAGACUCUUGGGGGGCACACUCUGCAAAGGCUGAGAUGCACCCAUCUAGUUGGAGCCCAGGUAUUAUCAUGCAGGAGACCUGGGUUUGAGUAGGUGUUUGAUCCUUGGAGAGCUUUCUGGAAUAUUUAUACCACACACAGGGAUACUUGGCUUGGGAAAACUAAAUAAACGUGAAGUCUUUCCUUCUCUC